ensembl:lncRNA
UUUGAAUAUGUUAUAUUUGAAAUAUACAUGAAUAAUAAAACUACUUGCCACACAUAGUAUUCAUAUAUAUAUAAAAAUACAUUAUACUCCUAUGGCUACACUCUUGAUCUAAAUCAAGUUGGUGAACAUAUUAGUCUAUGUUAUUUUCCCUUACGUGGCACAGAGUUGAAUAGGACACGGUGAGCAACCAUUGAAUACACUGCAGAUGAUUACAAAACUUCUAGUUCAGCACUGGUGAAAAUUAGUUGGACUCUGAUCAGUUUGCUAAUCAACAGAAUGCAGUUUUAUAUAGCAACAAAGCACAGAAAUGAUUCACAUUGAAGAAUGUGAAGUUCCUCCAUUCAACAAUUUCACUCUGGAAGCAUAGACACUUCCCAUUACAUAUUAGAUCAUCAGUAAUUUACCCCAUGAGCUACAUUCAGUAUGUAGCUCCUGUGAAACAGCCAGCUGUAGUAUAUUCCUCACACAAGUAGAAAGAAAGCCUUGGCAAACCACAGCUGUGGUGUUCUGGUCACCCAGGACAAGUGCCCUGCUCAGCUCUUCAAUUGGCAGAAACAAGUAAUUUGCACUAACUGAGGCUACAGCUUCUGGGUCUGAAAAGAGGCAGACUUGCCACUGCAGUAUGCAGAAAGAACUUUGCCAACAUCCUCUUUACUAAUGGCCUGUGGAGUGGGCAGUCUCACAGUCAUCUGCUUGCACAGAUUCAUUAACAGCUGCUGAUUUUAUAGGAGGAAGAUGCUCUGUGUUUGGAAACACAAUAGCCUCUCCUCUAGCCUCCUGAACUGCCUUUGGGCUUCUUCCAACUAAUGCAGAUAAAGCAGGUUUGUCUAUCAGCAAGCCUAGUCCCCAGGCACAAAUUUACUCCUCUUCAGACAGCAGAGUGGCCACAGCACCUCUUUCACCCUCCCAGAAAAGGAUCUGCUGGAGGAUCGUACCUGGAAUGUCAAUGUUUAGAAAUUCAAGCUUUAAAGAUAUCCAGGAAAAAAGAAAAAAAAAACCCAAAACAGCAGCAACCACCUCAACAUUUUGCUGUAGGGGGCUUCGGAAAGUCAGUCUGAAACUGUAUCUGAAAUGAAAUUGCAACGUA